rnacentral:rRNA from 1 species
GACGGAGGAUGCAAGCGUUAUCCGGAAUGAUUGGGCGUAAAGCGUCCGCAGGUGGCCGUUCAAGUCUGCUGUCAAAGACCGGGGCUUAACUUCGGAAAGGCAGUGGAAACUGAACAGCUAGAGUAUGGUAGGGGCAGAGGGAAUUCCUGGUGUAGCGGUGAAAUGCGUAGAGAUCAGGAAGAACACCGGUGGCGAAGGCGGUUCUCUGGGCAUUACCUGACACUGAGGAGCGAAGGCGUGGGGAGCAAACAGG